rnacentral:lncRNA from 1 species
AUCUAAUCAUCGUCGGGAGAGUUUGAUCGUCGUGAUACAGCCACACAGUGUGUCUGACCUAUGCAAAUCAUCCACAUGAAGCUUUCGAUCCGAUCGACUCCUCACGAGUGCUAGCUCGUUGUAGAGCCCUUUCGACGAUCGAUGCUGAUCGAACUCCUUCGAUCGAUGUCUGUCGAUUCUUCAAACAUUCCGAAUCGUCAGCAGACAUGCUUGAGAGGAUGUUAAAGAUCUUUCUGAAAUUUAAUG